rnacentral:rRNA from 1 species
GAUGAACGCUGGCGGCGUGCCUAAUACAUGCAAGUCGAGCGAACAGACGAGGAGCUUGCUCCUCUGACGUUAGCGGCGGACGGGUGAGUAACACGUGGAUAACCUACCUAUAAGACUGGGAUAACUUCGGGAAACCGGAGCUAAUACCGGAUAAUAUAUUGAACCGCAUGGUUCAAUAGUGAAAGACGGUUUUGCUGUCACUUAUAGAUGGAUCCGCGCCGCAUUAGCUAGUUGGUAAGGUAACGGCUUACCAAGGCAACGAUGCGUAGCCGACCUGAGAGGGUGAUCGGCCACACUGGAACUGAGACACGGUCCAGACUCCUACGGGAGGCAGCAGUAGGGAAUCUUCCGCAAUGGGCGAAAGCCUGACGGAGCAACGCCGCGUGAGUGAUGAAUGUCUUCGGAUCGUAAAACGCUGUUAUUAGGGAAGAACAAAUGUGUAAGUAACUAUGCACGUCUUGACGGUACCUAAUCAGAAAGCCACGGCUAACUACGU